rnacentral:rRNA from 1 species
AUUCCUUUGAUUCUGGGGAAGAUAGAAAGCACGCGGCACUUAUAAUACAUGCUAGGGGUGAUAUUUGGUUUUAUUUCAUCCCGUACAGGUGAGUAAUAUUCCGGAAUGAGCACCGGCAUUAGCCGGUAUCAGCCGGAAUUGUAUUAGGUAGAAGGUUUUGAUAAGAGCAGACCUUGCCGAAGAUGCAUAGCCGAAUGGCCACAUUUCCACUGAAAUAAGGGGGAGACUCGUUUAGAGGCAGCAGUAGAGAAUUUUGUGCAAUGUAUGAAAGUAUGACACAGAGAUGUCGCAUUUUGGACUGUCUAAUAUACGUGCCAGCAGACGCGGUUAUACGUAAAGUCCUAGUUUUUAUUGAGAAAAAGGCGUAAAGGGUGUGUAGGUGUGUUUGUUAGGGUUGAAAGGAGGUAAGCAGAACUUUUAUGUAGCGGUAGAAUGCUUUGAUAUAAAAUGGAAUUCCAGAGGCGAAGGCGGCUUACCAAUUUAGACCGUCGCUGAGACACGAAAGUGUGGGGAGCUAACAGGAUUAGAUACCCUGGUCGUCCACACUGUAAACUAUGAAUAUAAAAAUGGUGGGGCGUUUAAGCCCUAUUAUUAAUCCAAAACUGAUUAUUAUUCCGCCUGAAGAUUACGAUUGCAAGAUUAAAACUCAAAGAAUUUGGCGGUUCACUAUUCCAAUUAGAGGAGCGUGUAGUUUAAUUCGAUAAUCCGCGAAAAACCUUACCAAGACUAGAAUAUUUAAUAUUACAAGAAGGUUGGUGUUAAAAUAACUAUUAAAUACAGGUAUUGCAUGGCNGUCGUNAGUUUGUGUUGUGAGAUGAACUAAACUAACUUAGCCCUUAGAUUAAUAUGAAAAUAUUAGUAUAUAAAAAGGAUGACGUCAAGCCCUUAUGAUCCCUAUGUUUUGGGCUAUAUAUGCGCUACUUUUUUUUAUACAAAGAGUCUAAUAGGAAGCUUUAAAGUAAAAUUUCGGAUAGAUGAUUGUAAGAUCGUCUUGAAGUUGGAUUUAAUAGUAAUCGAAAAGUAGAGCGUUUCGGUGAAUAUGGCUCUAGUGUUCGUACAAAUCGCCCGUCAACUCUGCUGAAUAAUAGACUCCUAAAGUACCGGCCACCUUCAGGUGGCCGGUAUAACGGUUAUAAUAUGAAGUUGAGUAAGUCGUAACACAGCGAGGCCAUCGGAAGAUGGCCUCGGAUUCAU